rnacentral:misc_RNA from 1 species
CAGCUUGCAAAGGAGAUUUCCAAGGAUUGGAGUUCUGUUUUUGAAAGAAGCAUAAACACACUAUUUCUCACUGAAAUGGUUCGCGGUUUGAUGUUAACGCUCAAGUAUUUCUUUGAAAAAAAAGUGACUAUCAAUUAUCCAUUUGAGAAGGGUCCUUUGAGCCCCCGGUUUCGUGGUGAGCAUGCCCUCCGGCGAUAUCCAACUGGAGAGGAACGUUGCAUUGCCUGCAAACUCUGUGAAGCUAUAUGUCCUGCACAGGCGAUAACAAUAGAGGCUGAGGAACGUGAAGAUGGAAGCCGUAGGACAACUAGG